CAAGCGCUCGUAAGCUUCAGUUCAUCACUGAAUUUACGCUGCCCCUUUCAAGGACGUAUACCCUCUAAGCUAGGGAAUCUCCUUUUGAUUGCAUAUAAGGCACAUAAGAUGGAUCAAACUGGGCACCAGAAGCUCCCAGAAGUUGGCCAAAUAGUCUACCAUAAGUACCACUUGUUGAGACGGACCCUGCACGUUCUUCUCACAGUGUCUCUCCUCUUUUUCUCUCUUUGCUUCUUUCUGGGCUUUUCUUUGUUUCCCAAUUCCUUCUAUGUCUGCUUCAACACUUGUCUACUUUCAUUCUUGACCCAUAAACUUGAAAGGAAGUACGUGUUUCUCAUUUGUAAUGGAAUCCUUGCUGUACUCGCUAAGAGUUCGGUUUCUUGCAGAUCUUCAACUUCUGGGAGAGAAUUUACAGAAGCGAGAACGUGAAGAUUUGAUUGCAGAAGAUGAAGGCAACGACGAAGAAAGAGGAGGGAGUUUAGUCAAAAGAAAUCUAGAAGAUGAUAAAAAAGAAGAAGGAGGAGGAGGAGGAAAUGAGGAGCUAGCUAGUACAGAGGAACUGAAUCGGAGAUUUGAAGAGUUUAUAAGGAAGAUGAAGGAAGAAAUCAGGAUUGAAGCUCAACAACAAUUAAUUGCAGUGUAACAUGUAUUAAUUUUGAAUGUAUAACAUCUAUUCACUUUAAAGCUGGCUUUCAUCCCCUUUUUAACGGCAACGCUCUCCCGCAUUAUCGUUUUUUAGUCCUUAGUCUCUAUUUUGUGUUACUAGAAGAAAAUAAUUUCCUAUGAAUCAACA
rnacentral:misc_RNA from 1 species